rnacentral:lncRNA from 1 species
CCGUUCUCUCCUGGUCACUACAUCCACGUCUGCCCCAGAGUCAGUCACUUUUUCUCCCAGUCGCAGGGUUUUCACGUGCCAAUGGGAGUUUGGAAUAAAGUCUUUCUAAAGACUCCUUGUAGAGCUGACAUCUUAUUACUUUGCUUUGGGGAUUGAACUCUGGACCUUGCGCUUUGAGGCACGUGGCGAAACCACUGAGCUAAAUCCCCGGCCCUGGUAAAUACAACACAACUUUGAAGCACUCAUCAUGAGGAUGGAGUGAUAAGAAAAGUAAAGAAACAGCUGCAAUAAAAAGCAAUGUCAAAUAAGCCCCAAAGAGAGGAAGGAACAGACUGCCAGAAUUUUUGUGAUGAGAAGAUGUGAUCAAGAGACAUCAGUCCAGGAUCUAAACCAUGGUGGAAAUGAAGAGCAGAACAUAGUGACACAUGCUGGCCUUGUCCUGAAACCUGAUGUCCACUACUCCCACUGCUCUGAAAGAGAGAAGAUUUAAAGUCACCUUUGAUGCUCCAAGAGUAGAUCAUAGGUAUCCCAGGCCUCUGCAGGGCCUGGAAGUAGCUUGUCCUACCCUUAGAGAGCUUUUCUAACUGACUUUUUCUGACAGUGAUUUGUCAGAUGUGUAGUGAAUUCUGCAAGUCCGGGCCCCAAAGAAGUAAAAGAGUAAUUGAAGUGGAUUAACUGAUGGUCAACUUGUAACGCCCAGCUGAACUGAAUCAGCAUGGUCUGGGCGUGGAAGAUCCAUCUGAGGAUUGUUGUCAACAGCCACAAAAAGAGAACUGGAGGGAAAGAUCAUGGGUGUUGACUUUCUAGGAGAAGCCUGCUGUGAUUUUUCUGACACCAACUAGGCUGUUCAUGUCAGAGGAGGAAGUUGGGGACUUGCUGUCCCUGGGAAUGGCUGCUGUUUUUGUCAGGGGAGCUCUGAUCUUC